rnacentral:rRNA from 1 species
AGAGUUUGAUCCUGGCUCAGGAUGAACGCUAGCGGCAGGCUUAACACAUGCAAGUCGAGGGGUAACAGGAGUGCUUGCACUCGCUGACGACCGGCGCACGGGUGCGUAACGCGUAUAGAACUUACCUUUUACAGAGGGAUAGCCUUUAGAAAUGAAGAUUAAUACCUUAUAGUAUUGAGACUUGGCAUCGAGACUUAAUUAAAGAUUUAUCGGUAAAAGAUGGCUAUGCGUCCUAUUAGUUAGUUGGUAAGGUAACGGCUUACCAAGACAGCGAUAGGUAGGGGUCCUGAGAGGGAGAUCCCCCACACUGGUACUGAGACACGGACCAGACUCCUACAGGGGGCAGCAGUGAGGAAUAUUGGGCAAUGGAGGCAACUCUGACCCAGCCAUGCCGCGUGCAGGAAGACGGCCCUAUGGGUUGUAAACUGCUUUUAUACAGGAAGAAACCCUGCUACGUGUAGCAGCUUGACGGUACUGUAAGAAUAAGGACCGGCUAACUCCGUGCCAGCAGCCGCGGUAAUACGGAGGGUCCGAGCGUUAUCCGGAAUCAUUGGGUUUAAAGGGUCCGCAGGCGGUCAAUUAAGUCAGAGGUGAAAUCCCAUAGCUCAACUAUGGAACUGCCUUUGAUACUGGUUGACUUGAGUCAUAUGGAAGUAGAUAGAAUGUGUAGUGUAGCGGUGAAAUGCAUAGAUAUUACACAGAAUACCGAUUGCGAAGGCAGUCUACUACGUAUGUACUGACGCUGAGGGACGAAAGCGUGGGGAGCGAGCAGGAU